rnacentral:rRNA from 1 species
UUCCCUACGGGAGGCAGCAGUGGGGAAUAUUGCACAAUGGGGGAAACCCUGAUGCAGCAACGCCGCGUGAAGGAAGACGGUUUUCGGAUUGUAAACUUCUGUUCUUAGUGAAGAAGAAUGACGGUAGCUAAGGAGCAAGCCACGGCUAACUACGUGCCAGCAGCCGCGGUAAUACGCAGGGGGCAAGCGUUAUCCGGAUUUACUGGGUGUAAAGGGAGCGUAGACGGCUGCGCAAGUCUGAAGUGAAAGCCCGGGGCUCAACCCCGGGACUGCUUUGGAAACUGUGUAGCUAGAGUGCUGGAGAG